rnacentral:lncRNA from 1 species
AGAAGGUAUGGAUAAUAUAGGAAAGUAAAUAAUUUAUUCUCCUUGAAAGUUGUAAACGACAAACUUUUUAGAAUAAAUUUUUUCUUUUAAAACGACAAUCUUUUAAGUACGGAAAGAGUAAGUGGAUACUAGUAUAAACUUAUCAUCAUUAUCAUAUCUCAACUUCUUUUAGAGUAUAUCUUGCAUGAACUUGGUAGUUGUAACUCGAAAAUGGGUAAUGUCUUUUCCAAGGAUUAAUGGUAUGGUGUCCAAAUUUUUGUUAGUUUAUACUACCUCCGUUUUUUUAUAUAAGUCGUUUUAGAGAAAUAUUUUUGUUCUUUAAUAUAAGUCAUUUAAAAAUUUCAAAUAAACAUUAAUUACUUAGUUUCCAAUAUUACCCCAAGUAUUAAAUAUAACUUUGAUUUUCUCACUAUUUUAUGUCUAAUAAAUACUCCCUCUAUCCCAUUAUAUCUGACGUUCUAUAUAUUUUCACACAUAUUAAGAAUAGACACAAUUUUACUAUUUUCCCCUUAAUUAAUACUUUAUCCCAUCCUGUGCUCUGCAACCAGAUCUGUUGCACUCCGUUCGUCUCUAUCACCGGAUCUGACCAAGAUCUAAUAUUCUGGCGGAGAUCUAAUAUUAAAAUUCUGGUGGUCAGGUCUAAUAUUAAAAUUAAAAUAAAGAUGUAGGCUCCAUUGAUUCUGCUAUGCAGUGAGGGUAGCUAAUUAAGUGGAAGACAAUUUAUUAAAACUAAGGAAAGUUGAGGCAGAGGACUUGGGGAAGAAGAGUAAGGACGUGUGAGGCAGAGGACUUGGGAAAGAAGAGUAACGACGUGUGAGGCAAAGGAUCUCCGCCUCCGCCGCCGCAUAGAUCUGAUAGAUCUGGCCAUCGUCGAACGAAUAGAUCUGAUAGAUCUGACCUCUUCAGGUACUCAACGAUUCACCAUAUUCGUGCUCCGAUCCUCUUCGUGCUAGAUCUGAUAGAUACUCUAGGUUUGGCCUGUGCAGUGCUUAUGCCCAGUUUCAUCGCCUUUAAUCCUGUCUGUGCACGCUUAUGAAUAAUCAAGAGCAUCAAUAACAACAAUCAGCCAUCAGAUAACAACCCUCAAGCAGUGAUGGAUGCAAGAAUUUUAUAGAGGGCAAAACUGUUAUAACUAAAUGAUAUUAUAAAACUUACUCAUGAAUUUGAUACUCUAUUCCAGGGAAAAAGGGAAAAUAGGCAUUAAUAGUGGUGGAGAAGGAAGGACAGAGAGGAAAAAUAAAUGUUAAAAUAUUUUUGGGAAUGUAAAACGUCAAAUAUUUUGAGAAGAAAAAAAUACUCUAAAACGUCAAAUAUUUUGGGAUGGAGAAAGUAACAAUCUCUUAUUCUAAUAUAAG